rnacentral:rRNA from 1 species
GAUGAACGCUGGCGGCGUGCCUAAUACAUGCAAGUCGAGCGAACAGACGAGGAGCUUGCUCCUCUGACGUUAGCGGCGGACGGGUGAGUAACACGUGGAUAACCUACCUAUAAGACUGGGAUAACUUCGGGAAACCGGAGCUAAUACCGGAUAAUAUAUUGAACCGCAUGGUUCAAUAGUGAAAGACGGUUUUGCUGUCACUUAUAGAUGGAUCCGCGCCGCAUUAGCUAGUUGGUAAGGUAACGGCUUACCAAGGCAACGAUGCGUAGCCGACCUGAGAGGGUGAUCGGCCACACUGGAACUGAGACACGGUCCAGACUCCUACGGGAGGCAGCAGUAGGGAAUCUUCCGCAAAGGGCGAAAGCUUGACGGAGCAACGCCGCGUGAGUGAUGAAGGUCUUCGGAUCGUAAAACUCUGUUAUUAGGGAAGAAAAAAUGUGUAAGUAACUACGCACGUCUUGACGGUACCUAAUCAGAAAGCCACGGCUAACUACGUG